rnacentral:lncRNA from 1 species
GCUUCGAGUUAAGGCCCGGGGAUAGACAGAGCCAGUGUCUGUCAUGGAGGAAACUGCGAAUUACAACGGAGGCAACACUGGAGCACAUGGCAGUUACCGCUGAGUGUGGAACAUUCCCGGGGCGAAGAAACACAGAGAGGGUGCCGGUAGCCAAGCUGCGCCUGAAAGAACAAGCCCGGGCAACGUGCGUGGGCAGGAAGAGGACUUUUCAGGUGGGAGGUGCAGCCUGUUCAAGGCUGGAGGAGGGGAGCUGGAGCCAGGCACACAGUGCGGGGGCACAGGCUGCGGGGCGUGUGACCUCCCUGUGUACGCUCAGGCGCCACACCUGGAGGCACCAUGCCCCUUACAUGCCACUUUGUCAUUAUGAUGAUUUUUAAUAUUUUUAUUAUAAUUUUCUUAACCCCAAAGAUGGACAUUUAAAAAUAUUUAUAACAGUUGUCCGGCAGAUGGCAGUAAAAUGUGUUGUUCUAACAAAAAUUAAUGUAUUCUGACAACUUUCUGAUGAUGGCAACAAAGUAUAUUAUUCUAAAAGGGUUGGUAUACAAUAGAUAUGUAUGUAAAAAAGAGAAAUUCUAUUUCAAGUCACAAAAGAGAACUUUUGCAAAUCAAAAGAUUUGAUGAGCAAAAUAAUGAUCAUCAAAAUGUUUUAUUGAUAUUAUGAGAUCUAAAAUAGCCUGUGUUUCUAAACAAGAGCUGCUCUUCUAGCUGAUGUAGUGAUCUGCAAACAUUUUAAAAUUUAAAAAGGAACCCCCGGCUGGGCACAGUGGCUCUUGCCUGUAAUCCCAACACUUUGGGAGGCUGAGGUGGGCGCAUCACCUAAGGUCAGGAGUUCCAGACCGGCCCGGCCAACACAUAAUGAAACUCCCAUCUCUACUAAAAAUACAAAAAUUAGCUGGAUGUGGUGGCACAUGCCUGUAAUCCCAGCUACUUCAGAAGCUGAGACAGGAGAAUCACUUGAACCUGGGAGGCACAGGUUGCAGAGAGCUGAGAUCAUGCCACUGCACUCCAGCCUGAGCAACAGAGCAAGACUCCAUCUCUCAAAAACAAAAAUAAAAAAUAAAAAGGAACUCCUAUUGCUACUAGAUCACUGGAUGAAGUUAAUGUUUGCCAUUGAAUCCUCAUGGACGGCGAGGCUGCGCGCUGUGCCAAGGCUCUGUUCCCGAUGCCACCCACCAGCAGGUGUUUCCUCCAGGCCCUGGCUCUCUUGCUCCACUGGCUACACCCUACUCCUUGGUACAGACUGAGGAGUCCUCGAGAGGAGGAGGCAGCAUCACCAUCCUCUCUUCUGCCAGCUUGGCACUGAAAAUCCCUGGAGAGAUUUUAAAGACAGUAUAUACUCCUCUGCCUCUUCAUUGUGGUUGAAAACCUCUCACCUAAAAUCAGAAUUAUUUUGAGGAAAAAAAGAAUUAUUAUAGUAAGAAAUAAUAAUGUUCUUCACAUGGUAAAAAACUCAUUCCUUCAUGAAUUUUUUUUCAUUAUGGAUGAACAAAGACUUGGAAAAUCUUUUCUUUCAAAAAGAUUUGGAAGUGGCAUACCAAUAUGAACAUCUGGGGAGUGGCUGGGACUACUGAGGGAGAUGGUAGAAUGACAAGAGGAGAAGAUCAAAAAGGAAAGGAAUCAAGGUGUCCUCAGGGCUGAGAAACCCUCUGCAGGCUCUCGGAGAGGAUCUGUUUCCUUGCUCAGUUGGGUUUUGGUGAAUUCAGUUCCUCGAGGUUGUAGGACUGAGGUCACCUGAUAUUCCUCCGGCUCUUCUGCGUCUUUGUUUCCUGCAUCUAAAGGGGCAGCUGAUGGCUAGCUAACACAGUCUCCAUGGCAGGGAAUCUGUAUUUCUGCCCAACAAUGGGAGCUCAUCAGGUGGGUCUGACCUGGAAGCAAUUUCCUGUGGGAUAAGAUCUAGUGAAGCCCAUGACCCUUCCCACACCUGCAGACCAAAGGAGCAAAACCAGACUGAGACACACAGAACGGAGAAACACACAGAGAAUGCAGGGGGGGGCCGGUCUCAAGAACAUCAUUUUUCAUAGAAGUACCUCGCAGUCCCAUGUGACAGGGAUCUGUACUGUAACAAAUUAGGAAUGAAAAUAGACAGAGUCUCUGUGACUAGAAUAAGAGUUCUACUUCAGGGACACACCCGUCUCAUGAACACAGUCAGUCCCCAGAGAUUCAGAGACAUGGCUUGAAAUUCAAUCAGGUAUAACAGAGAGAGUGCCGGAUGGGGCCUGGCAGGGGGUGGGUUGAAGACGGUGGUGAACGUUCUUACACAUCUUAGUGUUAAGGCAGGGGUUCAGAUUUUCCCUCUGGGAGACAAGAAGUUUUAACAGAGGAAAUACAUGAUCAGAUUUAUUUUCAGAAGGUCAUUAAUCCUCACAGUGGAAUCCAUCAUCUGUUAUGGACCAAGAGCUCUCGGCUUUGAGACCUUUAAAAGACCUAAUAAUGCAACCUUCAUUCUCAUUUCUUAUGAGUAUGUAACGUGAUAUUCUAAAGGGUUUCAGUUUUAUGGAGCGCCAUGUGAGUUAUUAAAGGUUACUAAAACCAAGAAUUUAGAAACUAAAAAUAGAACAGUGCUAGUGUACACAGAGUUCUUAUUUCAGGAAUCUAAUAAUAAAUUUGGACUGGCAACUCUCCUAUUGUAUAAGAAUAAAUUCAAACACUGGAAUGCCCAUACUUCCAGGAAAACUACUUUGACGACAAUUCACACUUCUGCAUUGCAAUGAUUAUUUUAAUUGUUUCAUUUCUUCCUUUAUUAUAAAGUAUAGUUAUUUAGUAUUUUUCUUCACUUUCAUCAUCUCAGUCAUUUGAUACAGGUUAGGCGAGCCCAAAACUGGGGCUUACCCCAGGAGGGUUCUAGGAUUCAUCGGGGGAAAAAUUCAAGGGCAAGCCUGUGGUGUCAGACAGCAACGUGUACUGAAGCGGUGUGCACGGCAGCAGCAGAGGUCCUGCUCCCUGCACAGCAGGGUGACCCCACAGGCAAGGUGUCCAGAGCAGAAGCUCAGGGGCAGGCCUGCAAUCACAUUUAUACCUGCUUUUAAUUAUAUGAAAAUUAAGGAGCAGAUUGUACAGAAAUUUCUGGGAAAAGGGUGGCAACUUUCUAGUUGUUGAGUCAUUGCCAUGGAAAGGGGUGGUAACUUCGGGCUGCGGCAUGACAAUGUCAAACUGACAUGGCACACUGGUGGGUGUGUCUUAGGAGAGCUGUUUCCACCCAUCUCUGUUUCAGCUAGUCCUCAAUUUGUUCAGAUGUCUAAGCCCUACCUCCAGAGUUGAGUUCCACCUCCCACCUCAAGUUGUUCAUUGUUACCCUUUCCAUAUAGGGUAAUUAUAAUCCUAUAUUUGUGCUGAUGUAGAUUUUUAGCAGUAGCACUCAUUCUAUAAUGCAUUCUACUUUGGAUAUAUUGAGAUACUUGUGGAAUAUUGACAUGGAAAUGUUGAAUUAAGAACAAUAUGUAGAUUGGACAAAGACUUGGAAAAUCUUUUCUCUCAAAAAGAUUUGGAAUUAAGAUCAAUACAUAGAUUAGACCAAGACUUGGAAAAUCUUUUCUUUCAAAAAUAUUUGGAAGUGGCAUAUUAAUAUUAACAUCUGGAGAGUGGCUGGGACUACUGAGGGAGAUGGUAGAAUGAGAAGAGGAAAAGAUCAAAAAGGAAAGGAAUCAAGGUGUCUGCAGGGCUGAGAAACCCUCUGCAGGCUCUCAUGAAGGAUCUGUUUCCUUGCUAAUUUGGGUUACAGGUGAAUGCAGUUCCUUGAGAUUGUAGGACUGAGGUCACUGCUUUCUCACUGGUUGUCAUCUAGAGCCAUUCCCAACAUCUAUAGGCUGCAAAUCCUGGGCUCAUGGUCUCCUUCCUCCAUCUUCAAGGCUAAUAGUAGUGGGCUGAGUCUUUCACACUGAGAAUCCCUCCUCCUCCUUUCAUCUCAUCUGCCUGACCCAGCCAGGAAUGACUCUCUUCUAAGGAUUCACAAUGAUGAUGAGACAAGGUAUGAACUUUUCCAAGAAUCAGGUUCCUGAGUAAGCAACAGCAGCAUCUGUUCCAAAAUCCAGCUUCCCCAGCUACAGAGGCUGGGCUCUGACCCACACAGAGGCACUGCUAGAAAUCCAGGAGCCCCAAUAGCAAAGACCUGGAAUCAACCCAAAUGCCCAUUGAUAAUAGACUGGAUUGGAAAAAUGUGGCACAUAUACACCAUGGAAUAUUAUGCAGCAAUCAGAAAUGAUGAGUUUGUGUCGUUUGUAGGGACAUGGAUGAAUCUGGAGAACAUCAUUCUCAGCAAACUGACACAAGAACAGAAAAUGAAACACCGCAUAUUCUCACUCAUAGGCGGGUGAUGAAAAAUGAGAACACAUGGACACAGGGAGGGGAGUACUAAACACUGGGAUCUAUUGGGGGGAAAAGGGGAGGGCAAGUGGGAGGGGGAGGUGGGGAGGGAUAGCCUGGGGAGAAAUGCCA